AUGAAUCCUAAUUUCUUUCGCAUCAGUUGAAACCUCAAACCGAGUUGUUUGCAAAAAAAUUUUGCCUUUUGCUUAUUCUUAAGUAGGGAGCAUUAUUGAAUAAAUCGGUUGUGGAAUCUAAAGUUGGGAGAGUAAAGUGAAGAGUUGAUAGGGAACUUGGAAUAGUGAGUUUCUUUGGAAGGGUAAGAAUAUGAAAAGAAACAAGAAAAAGAAAUCACCCUUGAAACCAUAGAGCAUAUAAAAAAAAAAAUAAAAAAUAAAUAAA
rnacentral:lncRNA from 1 species